rnacentral:rRNA from 1 species
GUGUCAGCCGCCGCGGUAAUACAGAGGGUGCGAGCGUUAAUCGGAUUUACUGGGCGUAAAGCGUGCGUAGGCGGCUGAUUAAGUCGGAUGUGAAGUCCCUGAGCUUAACUUCGGAAUUGCAUUCGAUACUGGUCAGCUAGAGUAUGGGAGAGGAUGGUAGAAUUCCAGGUGUAGCGGUGAAAUGCGUAGAGAUCUGGAGGAAUACCGAUGGCGAAGGCAGCCAUCUGGCCUAAUACUGACGCUGAGGUACGAAAGCAUGGGGAGCAAACAGGAUUAGAUACCCUCGUAGUCC